GGCUUAACACAUGCAAGUCGAGGGGCAGCAUGGUCUUAGCUUGCUAAGGCCGAUGGCGACCGGCGCACGGGUGAGUAACACGUAUCCAACCUGCCGUCUACUCUUGGACAGCCUUCUGAAAGGGAGAUUAAUACAAGAUGUUAUCAUGAGUAAGCAUUUUCGCAUGAUUAAAGGUUUACCGGUGUAAGAUGGGGAUGCGUUCCAUUAGAUAGUAGGCGGGGUAACGGCCCACCUAGUCUUCGAUGGAUAGGGGUUCUGAGAGGAAGGUCCCCCACAUUGGAACUGAGACACGGUCCAAACUCCUACGGGAGGCAGCAGUGAGGAAUAUUGGUCAAUGGACGAGAGUCUGAACCAGCCAAGUAGCGUGAAGGAUGAAGGUUCUAUGGAUUGUAAACUUCUUUUAUACGGGAAUAAACGAAUCCACGCGUGGAUUUUUGCAUGUACCGUAUGAAUAAGGAUCGGCUAACUCCGUGCCAGCAGCCGCGGUAAUACGGAGGAUCCGAGCGUUAUCCGGAUUUAUUGGGUUUAAAGGGAGCGUAGAUGGGUUGUUAAGUCAGUUGUGAAAGUUUGCGGCUCAACCGUAAAAUUGCAAUUGAUACUGGCAGUCUUGAGUACAGUUGAGGUAGGCGGAAUUCGUGGUGUAGCGGUGAAAUGCUUAGAUAUCACGAAGAACUCCGAUUGCGAAGGCAGCUUACUAACCUGUAACUGACAUUGAUGCUCGAAAGUGUGGGUAUCAAACAGGAUUAGAUACCCUGGUAGUCCACACGGUAAACGAUGAAUACUCGCUGUAGGCGAUAUACAGUCUGCGGCCAAGCGAAAGCAUUAAGUAUUCCACCUGGGGAGUACGCCGGCAACGGUGAAACUCAAAGGAAUUGACGGGGGCCCGCACAAGCGGAGGAACAUGUGGUUUAAUUCGAUGAUACGCGAGGAACCUUACCCGGGCUUAAAUUGCAACCGAAUAUGGCGGAAACGCUAUAGCUAGCAAUAGCGGUUGUGAAGGUGCUGCAUGGUUGUCGUCAGCUCGUGCCGUGAGGUGUCGGCUUAAGUGCCAUAACGAGCGCAACCCUUGCCGAUAGUUACUAACAGGUUAUGCUGAGGACUCUGUCGGGACUGCCAUCGUAAGAUGUGAGGAAGGUGGGGAUGACGUCAAAUCAGCACGGCCCUUACGUCCGGGGCUACACACGUGUUACAAUGGGGGGUACAGAGGGCUGCUACCACGCAAGUGGAUGCCAAUCCCAAAAACCUCUCUCAGUUCGGAUUGAAGUCUGCAACCCGACUUCAUGAAGCUGGAUUCGCUAGUAAUCGCGCAUCAGCCACGGCGCGGUGAAUACGUUCCCGGGCCUUGUACACACCGCCCGUCAAGCCAUGGGAGCCGGGGGUACCUGAAGUGCGUAACCGCAAGGAGCGCCCUAGGGUAAAACUGGUGACUGGGGCUAAGU
rnacentral:rRNA from 1 species